GCAGGUUUCUUUAAGUAUUUUAGAGGCAAUGAAGUUCUGGUUCCAAAUGUCCCUUGCAAAUCUGCCACCUGGCAGCAGCCAAAAUUUGAGGUGACGUGCAAAAAUAGCUGAUGUGUAAGGAUGGAAAGGCGUGAGGGAAGGUUAGCCAGUCCGGGAGAGUUCGCUUUCCUGGGAGGAUCAGGGCAGGCUCCCUGGAGGAGGUGGUUUUGAAUCCGAGUGGCAAAGGAUGGGGGAAAUGUAGACCAGGCAGCCGGUCUAGGGUGAGCGGGGGCAGGCCAGGCGGCGGGCCCUGCGCGUGAAGAUGUGUGAAGGCGGGAACAAUGCGGUGGGAGUUUGGACCACGGGGCUGGGGCUGGUGGAGGCCGCCGCAAGGAGAGAUGAGGCCCAUGGGGGCACCGCCAGGCCGGAGGGCAGGGAGCGUGGAGAAUGCGGCUGACCUCUGUUCCAGGGGCUCGUGCUAAAGAAGGGCUGCCUCGUCCUCUGUCCACCACCAGGCGCCCUUUCCCCUCAGGCCUGUGCAGUCAUCUUUGGUGAAAUAUGAGAAUGAGUUGCCUGCAUGGAGGCCCACAGGACGCCCAGCCCUGCACGGAUGGCUUCGGGGGCGUCAGCUCAUUCAUUCCUCCCGUUAGUUGCAUGAGGGAGGUGUUAUCAUGAUGCCCAUUGUACAGAGGGCACAGAGGAGGCCCAGAGAGGUUAAGCAACACGGCUAACGUCACAUAGCCAGGAAGUGGCAGAGUGGUAUUGGAAUCCAGACCUCCUGGAACCCAAAGUCCUUGCACUAAGCACUGCUCUGUAAUGCUCCUCAUGUGCUCCCACCAGGCCUGUGACCUGAGCACCAUAGUCCUCCCCAUUUGUCGGAGGGAGAAACUGAGGCUCUGAGAGGUGGAAUCACUUGCAUGAGAUCACACAGCCGGAGGGGAGAAGCCGAGGUUGGAAUCCCCGGGUCCAGGUGACUCCAGUGCGCUUUCUGCAACCACCAACGACACAGCUGCUUGCUCUGCCACCUCCAUGUCCUUAUCUGAGAAGCGGGGUGAGGACAGCGGCCACCCGGUGGGGCCGUGCAGGGGUCCGAGGGGGGCGCUUGGCCGUCGCUUUAGGGACGCUGGGUGUGGCCACUUGUGUGAAGGCGCUGUUAGUAAGUGAGUGGGUUAGUGGGAGGCCUCAAGCAGUGCCCUGCACACAGUAGGUGCUCAGAAGUGCUGGCUGGCGGCAUUACUACUGUGGGACCUGCCGCAGGGGCGGCCCGAGGUGCUUCCCAACCUGCCUCCUUCGCAGACGCUCCACUCGUGUCCCAUCACCCAGCGACGGGCCUCGGAGUCCAGGUCAGGAGGACGCAGGGCAUCCGCCCAUCAGUCCGAGAGACGCUGCGAGCACUGGGUGACCAGUCCGAUGUCAGGGUUUGAACCCUGGACCCCCUGUGUGACCUCUGGCAAGCGUCUUGCCUUCUCUGAGCCUCAGUUUCCCCUUUUGUCUAUAGAGCCUGGGCCAGCUGCCCCGGAGGUGUCAGCCCCGCGCAAGGCCAGGGGCGGUUCCUGUGCCCCCGCUGGCCGCCGUCCCCGCCUCCUGCCUCCCGAGCUGCAGGCCCGCCCGGCUCAGCUGUGACGACCAACCAGCCAAUGUGUUUACUGAACUGCCUGACCCCUUCCGGGAACUGGGCCCAAGCUUCCCAGAACUCGGGUAUUAAUGACCCGGAGCCACAUGACAGAGCAUGACACAGCACUUUUGGGCACAAGGCAGGGCCCAGAGGGGCGCGUGGGGGGCCGCGGCCCAGCCCCCAGCCCGCUGGCGGGUGAGUCACCCUGGCCUCCUGCAGCCUCCUGAGCGUCCGCUCCGGCGCCCUCCCCCAGCCCCAGAAUGUCCUCCCCCGGCCGGCCGCCUGCGACCUCCGGACCUUUGCCCCAGUGACCUAGAAGAGGUCCUGCUGAGCCGGGCUGCCCUCUGGGGCCGCAGACCUACUUGUUAAGCACUUACUGCCCGUGAGGCGCUGUCUCACAGUGAUGGGGAAACUGAGGCUCAGAGGGGGGAACAGGGCCUGCAGCUGCGCGGGGCAGCCUUGAAUCCCAGCAGCUCUAGGCGCCCUUGGAUGAUCUUCCAUCCCCUCGACAACCCCACAAGGGAGGGGCCGUGUGGGCUGUUUCAUAGCUGGGGAACCGAGCACGGGGUGGGUGCUGAGUACCCCGCCCAAGCUCUGAGUCGGGUCUGUCUUGGGACCGCUCGGCACCAGCGCGGGCAGCAGGCAGGCAAGCUCGGCUCCGGCCACGCAGCUUUAUUGAGGUACAACAGACACGGCACGUGUUCUAGUGUGCACUUUGGUUCCGGAGCUGCCGGCGGUAAUUAACCUUCCCGGCUCCCUCUGAAGUCGGCACUGCGGGCAGACGUGUUAUUAAACCCAUUUUCAAGGAAGCAGAGGGCCGGCCCCCAGAUGCCCCGCACCCUGAGGGCAGAGCUGCAGGCGGGGGAGCUGGCAGGUCCUGGACACCCCUCGUUCCUGCCCCCUCACCUCUCAGAAGCACAGGAGCACGGGCUUGGGAGCCAGAUGGAAGAGACUGGGAUCUGCUUCUGCUGUGUGACCCUGGGCAAGUCCCUGCCCUUCUCUGUGCCUCAGUUUCCUCCUUGGUAAAACAAGGAUGAUCAGAUCCACUUCUUGGGUUUGUCUGGAGCGAAAAGCACCCAGCUUACCUCUGACAUAUGUCCUCUCCCUCCCCGUGCUCUGGCCAUGCCAGCUUCCUUGCUGUUCCUUGAACACACGACCCACUUCCCACCUCAGGGCCUUUGCAUGUGAAGUGCCCUCGGCCUGGCGUGUCCUUCCUUCACAUCUCCCCAAGGCUGGCUCCUUCUCAUCUUUCUUGGCUCACGUAUCACCUCCUCAACCUACAGUGCCCCCCUCCCCCUGUUUUAUUUUCAUGAAGCGCUUGUGAACAUAACUCAUUAUUUACCUGGCCUGUUUCCUUGUCGGCUCCAGGCAGGGGUUUGGGGCUGUUCCAUUCACAGUGUAUUCCCAGGGCUCCGCUCAGUGUCAGGCACACAGUAGGUGCUCGAGAACAAUUGCUUUCCCCACCUCUCUCCUCGUUAGCUCCAAGUUGAGCAUGAGCUGGCUGUGUGACCCUGGGAACUGCUUUCCCGGGGGGUGGCCUGGGCACCAUCCUCCUGAAGGACUCAGGGAGCCUUGAAAUGCCCGGACCUCAGGCUCGUGCCUCCCCAGGCGACAGGGUGGGGAGCAAGCAGGUAGAGGAGGGGUGACCAGAGCCCCCUGGUGCGACCCGCUGUCCUGCGGCUCCGCCUCCUCCCCUGGGGCCCGGGCUUUAAGGACUCACUGUGGGCAGGUCCUCACCGCCAGCCGCCCCCUCCCUUGGCACGUCUGUCAGCGCCCUUGGGGGAAAGAAUUUGGAAAGGGGAGGAAGAGAAAGGAAGAAAGCCGCCACGAGGGGAUGGUUCUCACACCUGUGUAAAUAAUUUGUCAUCUUAAAACUCGUCAAAUAUGCUCACCUUUAAUGCCUGCUUCUUGGGCUUGUUUUCCUUGGCAAGGCCCCCACGGGAGUGGAAUUUCGGCCCAAGGGAGCCCAAUUGUCAUCUUCUAAGCAUGUUCCCGGGCCGCAGGCUGAGGAGGGCUCUGGCUGAUGCUCCACUUCCGUCCCCAGAAGUUCCAGAACGUUCCUGGGAUUUAUGGAGCAGUUGCCAGUUCUGGAAGCUGUCCCAGAGUUCUGGAAUGUUGGAAUUCAAGCAGCCUCCUGCCCAUUUUCCAGAAGGGGAACAUGAAGCCCAGAGGGGGGAAGGGGUUGGCCUGAGGUCACACAGCAUGCUGGGAUGAGUUAGACUUUCCCAGGAAAAGAUGGCAAGUUACGGACAGGUCAGUGCCCUGUUACACCUGAAUUUUCUACCGGAGAACUUCCUCCUCCCCCAUGUCAGUCCCUGAGGUUGGGUGGGGUGUCCCGGGACCCUGUCUCCAGGGGUGGGCACAUGCCCAAGUCUGGCCCAGCGACUCGCCUGGGGAUGGACACAUGCUAAACCCGCCCAAGGAAAGUGGAUCCUGGGAACUCUGCGAAGGACAUGCAGCGUUUCCGUUGGACUGAGAGAGCCAGUGAAAGCCCGGAGCGUUGGGGGUGUCACAGGGAAAAGCCUGCCUGACAGAGAUCAGCACAGGGCUGAACAGGGCUUGAACCCCUGGAUCUAGCCAUACCUGAAGUCACACACCCUUGGACUUUUCAGUUUCGUGAGCUGCUGCAUUUCCCAUUUUUGCCUGAAAACAGUUUGGGCUGGUUUUCUGUCACUUGCAUACAAAAGGUUCUGACUGACCGUGGGCCUGGAGGAGGGGAAGGGACGAGGGUCUGGGCAGAGGAGGUAACAUGCAUAGUGACCCCAAAGCAGCAACGGCAAGGGACUUGCAAGUGACGGGGAGAAGAAGGAGGAGGCCCCCCAGGGGAGUUUAGGAUGGGUCGGGUGGUCCAGGUGGGAGAAGGGAGUAACUCCAGCAGAAGGAGCGACCAAUGCGAAAGCUUGGAGGGGUGACUAGGUAGUGCCGAGGGACGCAGAGACGCAAACGGCAAAAGUGAGUGCCCUCCUCUGAACUGCACCAGCUAAAUGUGGGCUCCUCUGCUUUGGGAGCUGCGCCCUCCCAGUGCCGCGCCCGUGUCCCUGCCGUGCCCGCCAGCACGCUGUCUCAGACACGUGAGUGCUCUCCCAGUGGGCGAUGGGCGCCCCCGGGGCUGCGUGUCACGGUUUCGCAGGGCGCAGGGACAGAGCACCAGCUGUCGUCCGGGCGCGUGGUGGGUUCUUCCCCUUGCGAAUCUGCCACAGUCCUUCCUUUACGCCAAGGACAGUCUCCGCGUGGCGCUGACCUGUGUCUAACACCAAAUACCUGCUGAUCUUUCUGGAAAGGAGCAGGUCUCGGGCCCCCUGCCUUCGGCACACGGUCGUGUCUAGCAAGACUCUUGGGAGCUUUGUGUGGGGCUGUGCCACACUCCACAGACGCGCUCUGCUUGAUGCACCUUGAACGCUAGCCUGACUUCUGUCACCAUGGGUCAGUGGCACCUGUUUUUGGACUUUAGAUCUGAUGUGUUUCCGGAAUGUCAUGGAAGUGGAGUCCUGCAGGGCAUUGCCUUUCUUCACUCAGCAUCGCGGUUUUGAGAUGUGUUCAUUUCGCUGUGUGUUCUCAGCACGUUUUUCAGUAACAUUCCUUGUUAUCACUGAGCAGCGUUCCAGCGUAUGGACGUACCGCAGCCUGCGUACCCGUUCACCACGUGAGGGAUAUUUGGACUGUUUCCAGUGUUUAGUGAUAUAAUUAAAGCCACUAUGAACAUUUGCAAACAGGUUGUCACGUGAACAUAAUUUUUCUUUAUCUUGGGGAAAGGCUUAGGGGUCAAACUGCUAUGUCAUGCGGUCAAGUACAUGUUUGACUUACUCAGAAACCGCUAACCUGUGUCUGUACCAUUUUGCAUUGCCACCAGCAAUGGGCGAAAGUUUCAGUUGCUUCUCAUCCUCGCCAGCACUUGGUAUUGUCAAUUUUAAAAAAAUUUUAGCCAUCUCAUAGGUGUAUACCGGGAUGACGUCGUGAUGUUAAUUUGCGUUUCCCUGCUGACUAAUGAUGUUGAGCGUCUUUUUACGGGCUUAUUUGCCAUCCGUAUAUGUUCUUUGGUGUAGUAGUGUCUGAUCAAACUUUUUGUCCAUUUAAAAAAUCAGAUUGUUUUCUUAUUCGUGGCCUGGAGGGUUCUUUCUGUAUUCUGGAUCCGAGUCCGUCCUUCGUCAGAUGUGUGAUCUGCGAAUAUUUCCUCCCAGUCUGCCGCUUGUCCUUUUGCCCCCUUAACGGGGAGACCCUGAUAACAUCGUUGGUUUUCAUCAUGAGGAUUUUUCUGGUUAUCUUUGAUUUGCGGCAAGUGUUCUUUGCUUUUUUCAGUUCUAGCGAUAAUAUCAAAUGUUUCCCUUCUAAACAAAUUUAUUUAAAUAGAAAGUUAAGUCAACUUGAAGAAAAACAUUAAGUAACAGUAGGUCUGGAAUGCAAACCGCACAAAAAUCGGGAAGGCCGUUGCUUGAAUAACCAAAGUGCGGACAGUUCCCAUUCGUUCUCUCAACGGUUAUCAACCGAGCGCCUGCCCUGUGCUGGGCCCCGUCCUGGGUGCUGGGGCACAGUGACAAACAAGAGGAAGGGUUUCUGCCCUUUGGGUCAUGGUUUCCCUACCGCAAGCUCCUCGUCAUCCUUCAGAAGCCAACUUGAAAGGCCCUUCCCUGGAAAACUCACGGCACUGUGUUGCAAUUUCCUCUCCCUGCGAGCGUCUUCCCGGGAGGGGAUGUGUCCGGCAGCCUCUGACCCGGUCACGGAGAGCCUGGUGCACAGGUUCUCAGCAAAUAGCGCCUCACGACAUAGACGUGGUCGUGGGACCCGAAGCCCCUCCCCACUGCAGUCUGGCCCCAUGCAGAGCAAGGUCAUUCUCCUGGGCCUCCCCUUCCACUGACAAAGACACCAAGAGAAGACGCCUCCCGGAUCCACCACCUUCAGCUCCCCUCCGAGCUCUCCAUCCAGUGCCCUCCGAGCUCUCCAUCCAGUGCCCGAGGACGCCUUCCCGAGUGACUCAUCGAUCCCACGAACGCAUCCCAGGCAUCCCUUCACUCUGGCCCGGCCCGGGGGACCGUGUCACCCCAGCCUCCCACCACCCCUCCUCCAGCACACCAGCCUGCUCCUGUUCCUCCAACACUCUGAGCUCACUCCCACCCCCGGCCUUUGCAUAUGCUGUCCCUGCUAUCUGGAACCCUCUGUCUCUAGCUUUUUGCAUGGCUGGAUUCUUCUCCACAUUCCAUUCUGAGCUUAAACGACCCCUCCACAGAGGCCCCCCCCAGGCCAAUACUGUCAAACACUCCUUCUACUUUUUAUCCCAUCAUUCCGUUUAUCUUCUUUGUAGCCCCAAAGACUCUCAUUCCAGUUUAUUUCUGUGUUCACUUGUUUCUUGUCUGUGUCCCCCAUUUGAGUGUCAGCACCAUGAGGGAUUCUGGUCUGUCCUCUUGGUCUCCCCAGUGCCUCGCCCAGCACACAGUAGGUCCUCAAUAAACAUUUGUUGAAUGAAUGAAUGAAUGAGGGAGGCCAUGAGCUCUCCCUUCUCAAGACGCACUCAAAGCAGAGUUAGGCCGUCAGCCCAUGUGUCAGGCUCAUUGCCUGAACGGUGGGACCACAGGUCCUCUUCCUGGCCCCCUCUGGCCCCUGUGCCCAGCCCAGUGCUGAGCACUGCCUGCCAAGCCCACCAGCCUUGUGUCCUGCCAGCUGCCCAACCUGGGCCGAGAGGUCCUCCAUCCUCGGAGCCAGCCUGCGACAAAUUGUUCAUGAAUGGUGGGCCGUGGUUGGGGCUGGCGGCGGCUGUGUGGGGUAUGGGGACCCCGACUGAGACCCCAUCAACUCACAGUGUGCAAGAGUCAUUUCAGCUCCCUUCCCAUCCUCCUGAUGGUGCCACAGGGAAGGAAAGGCUGACCGGGGCUUGUGUGUCUUCACCACUUUCCUCCCCCUGUUCUUUCUUUUUAGGAAACAGCAGCCCCAGCGCCAAGCCCCCAGCGGUAGCGGUUUCUGGUUUUGUUUUGCCCCUUUGUGUAAUUGGCUGAAUGUCUCCAAUUUCCAGUGAGCGCCUUGGGUUGGGUUUCCCUGGAAGCAGAACCCUAAGAGAACAAUUUGAAAGCAAGCGGUUCAUUUGGGAGGCGACCCCAGAAAACACUGGUAGGGGAGUGGGGAAGUGAGCGCAGCCAGCGCAGAGCGUUAUGGAGAAGUAAGCGCUCCGGGCUGUGGGACUCAGUCCGCUGUGGGACUCUGGGAGAUAGUGUAGACCGUGCCUUCUGAGUCACCCCCCGGGUGGGGCGGGGGUGGCCGGGGAGCAGCGGGAGGUGUCCAUGCUCUCCUGCCGGCUUUGAUUGAGGGCGGCUCCCUGGAGUGAUGCUUCCCAGCACUUCCAGCUGCCACCCAGGGCCGGGGCCUGGGGGCUGAGAGAAGCCGCCUGGUCCUGGACUUCUGUUUCUAGGGGGGUUUCUGAUUAGUUUCAAUCUGUACUUGUGAUUGGUCUAUUCAGAGUCUCUGUUUCUUCUUGAUUCAGAUUUGGGAGGUUGUACGCGUCUAAGAAUUUAUCCAUUUCUCUAGAUUAUCCAAUUUGUUGACAUACGGGUUUGCGUAGUCUUCUCUUAGGAUCCUUUGCAUUUCUGUGGUGUCUGUUGUGAUGUCUCCUCUCUCAUUUCUGAUUUCGUUUGUUUGAGCCGUCCCCUCCCUCUUUUUUUCUUAGAGAGUCUAGCUAAGGGCUUGUCAAUUUUGUUUAUCUUUUCAAAGAACCAGCUCUUAGUUUCACUGAUCCUUUCUAUUGUUUUUUGUCUCUAUUUUAUUUCAGUUCUUAUUUUAAUUAUUUCCUUCCUUCUACUGACUUUGGGCUCUGUUUGUUCUUCUUUUUCUAGCUCUUUUAGGUAAAGUGUUAGAUUGUUUAUUUGAGAUUUUUCUUGUUUUUGAGGUAGGCCCGUAUUACUAUAAACAUCCCUCUUAGUACUGCUUUUGCUGCAUCCCAUAAGUUUUGAUAUGUUGUGUUUUCAUUUUCAUUUGUCUCCAGGUAUUUUUUUUAUUUCUCCUUUGAUUUAUUUAUUGAUCCAAUAGUUGUUCAGUAGCAUGUUAUUUAGUCUCCACUUUCUCAAAAAAUUAAAAAUAGAAAUACCAUAUGAUCCACUAUUCCACUUUUGAGUAUUUAUCCAAAGAACAUGAAAUCAGUAAUUGAAAAGCUCUAUCCACCCUGUGUUCAUUGCAG
rnacentral:lncRNA from 1 species